rnacentral:misc_RNA from 1 species
GAUGUAGAACGCAGCGAAAUGCGAUAAGUAAUGUGAAUUGCAGAAUUCAGUGAAUCAUCGAAUCUUUGAACGCACAUUGCGCCCGCCAGUAUUCUGGCGGGCAUGCCUGUCCGAGCGUCAUUUCAACCAUCAAGCCCCGGGCUUGUGUUGGGGACCUGCGUCCGACGCAGGCCCUGAAAACCAGUGGCGGGCUCGCUGUCCACACCGAGCGUAGUAACUAACCUCGCUAUGGAGUGGCGCGGGCGCCUGCCGUAAAACCCCCAAUUUCACAAGGUUGACCUCGGAUCAGGUAGGAAUACCCGCUGAACUUAAGCAUAUCAAUAAGCGGAGGA